UACAGAGGUCUCAAGCGUUGUUCGGAAUUACUGGGCGUAAAGCGUGUGUAGGCGGCUCUGCAAGUCGGAUGUGAAAGCCCCGGGCUCAACCCGGGAAGUGCACUCGAUACUGCAGAGCUAGAGUGUGGGAGAGGUUGGUGGAAUUCUCGGUGUAGAGGUGAAAUUCGUAGAUAUCGAGAGGAACACCGGCGGCGAAGGCGGCCAACUGGACCACUACUGACGCUGAGACACGAAAGCGUGGGGAGCAAACAGG
rnacentral:rRNA from 1 species